rnacentral:rRNA from 1 species
UACGGAGGGUGCAAGCGUUGUUCGGAAUCACUGGGCUUAAAGGGCGCGUAGGCGGGCAUUCAAGUCGGUGGUGAAAUCCUCCAGCUUAACUGGAGAAGAGCUGUCGAUACUGGAUGUCUCGAGGGGUGCAGGGGUCUGCGGAACUUCGGGUGGAGCGGUGAAAUGCGUAGAGAUCCGAAGGAACGCCGGUGGCGAAAGCGGCGGACUGGGCACCUUCUGACGCUGAGGCGCGAAAGCCAGGGGAGCAAACGGG